rnacentral:rRNA from 1 species
AACGAACGCUGGCGGCAUGCCUAACACAUGCAAGUCGAACGAGACCUUCGGGUCUAGUGGCGCACGGGUGCGUAACGCGUGGGAAUCUGCCCUUGGGUUCGGAAUAACUCAGAGAAAUUUGAGCUAAUACCGGAUGAUGACGUAAGUCCAAAGAUUUAUCGCCCAAGGAUGAGCCCGCGUAGGAUUAGCUAGUUGGUGAGGUAAAGGCUCACCAAGGCGACGAUCCUUAGCUGGCUGAGAGGAUGAUCAGCCACACUGGGACUGAGACACGGCCCAGACUCCUACGGGAGGCAGCAGUGGGGAAUAUUGGACAAUGGGCGAAAGCCUGAUCCAGCAAUGCCGCGUGAGUGAUGAAGGCCUUAGGGUUGUAAAGCUCUGUCGG